UACGAAGGUUGCAAGCGUUACUCGGAAUUACUGGGCGUAAAGCGUGCGUAGGUGGUUUGUUAAGUCUGUUGUGAAAGCCCCGGGCUCAACCUGGGAAUGGCAAUGGAUACUGGCAAGCUAGAGUGCGGUAGAGGGUAGUGGAAUUCCCGGUGUAGCGGUGAAAUGCGUAGAGAUCGGGAGGAACACCAGUGGCGAAGGCAGCACUCUGGGACGGUACUGACGCUGAGACGCGAAAGCGUGGGGAGCGAACAGG
rnacentral:rRNA from 1 species